CAAACCAAAGCUGGCGACCGGCGCACGGGUGAGUAACACGUAUCCAACCUGCCUCAUACUCGGGGAUAGCCUUUCGAAAGAAAGAUUAAUAUCCGAUAGCAUAUAUUUCCCGCAUGGGUUUUAUAUUAAAGAAAUUCGGUAUGAGAUGGGGAUGCGUUCCAUUAGUUUGUUGGGGGGUAACGGCCCACCAAGACUACGAUGGAUAGGGGUUCUGAGAGGAAGGUCCCCCACAUUGGAACUGAGACGCGGUCCAA
rnacentral:rRNA from 1 species